rnacentral:rRNA from 1 species
UACGGAGGAUGCAAGCGUUAUCCGGAAUUAUUGGGCGUAAAGCGUCCGCAGGUGGCUAUGUAAGUCUGCUGUUAAAGAGUGAGGCUCAACCUCAUAAGAGCAGUGGAAACUACAUGGCUAGAGUGCGUUCGGGGCAGAGGGAAUUCCUGGUGUAGCGGUGAAAUGCGUAGAGAUCAGGAAGAACACCGGUGGCGAAAGCGCUCUGCUAGGUCGCAACUGACACUCAUGGACGAAAGCUAGGGGAGCGAAUGGG